rnacentral:rRNA from 1 species
UCGUAGGAUGACCCGGUAGCUUGAUUGCGAUAACGAACGAGACCUUAACCUGCUAAAUAGCCCGGCUGGCUUUGGCUGGUCGCCGGCUUCUUAGAGGGACUAUCGGCGCGAGUCGAUGGAAGUUUGAGGCAAUAACA